rnacentral:lncRNA from 1 species
CUCAUUUAUUAUUUGUUUAUUGCCUUAUUUAUUUAUUAUCGAUUCUAAUAGGAUUCCAAGUAACAAUUAUCUACAUUUUUUUCAUUUUUUUAUUAUCUCGCCUAUCAAAUAUAUUACUAAAUAUGUUAGAUUAAAUUGUUUUAUAAAUACUAAUAGUGAUUUUAAAUAUGAACAUAUAUGGUAUAUACAAAGAUUUAUUAAAAUUGUCGAACCUUUAGUUGAUUGUAUUAUGGUGACUAUUCUAUUUUUUUUUAUUUAUUUUUUAUACACUUUUUGGAAUAGUAAAAAAUUAAAAAAAGCUGAAAAAGUGAUUCAAAAACAAAUAGAUGACAGAAAUGAAGAUAAUUAUUAUCAGUAUAUAGAUGAUUUUGCUUAUAGAUAUCCGAGAAAAUUUAGUCAAACCAUAUGUAAGCAAAAUAUAACUAAAAAUAAAAAUAAAAGGAUUAAAAAAUGGGACAAUUCUGACAUAGAAGAAUAUGUACGACAAAGUCAAAAUAAGCGUACGAGCAUUUGGGCAAAAUGUUUCAAUAGUAUAAUGGAUAAUACUAUGAGAAAAAAAAAAAUAGACAAAAAUGUGAGCAAUAAUGGUAGUACUAAUGGCAGUACUAAUGGCGAUACUAAUAGCGGUACUAAUAAUUUUGCCAACAUAUUCACAGGCGAAAAUAACCAAAACAAAGAAAAAAAAAAAAAAAUAAAUAGACAUUUUCACGUAAAAGACAAAGAAAAACGCAAUAAACAUAGUAAUCAAAAUUUUCCAAAAUUUCCAAAUUUUCCAGAUGUAUCAGACGUAUCAGAUGUAUUAGGCAAAAAGAAUGACCAGAAUGGGGAUGCAAACGAAGAAACAUAUACAACAUAUAGUAGCACUAAUAUUCAGAAAUAUGUUUUGAACCCGAUUUCUUCUACAAACUUCAUGACAUCUGAUUCGGAAAAUCACUCGAACGAAUCAAACGACGUUGAUGAGGAACAAGAAUCAUCAUCUGCUGACGAGGGUAUUAUACAUUAUAAAGAAUUAUACAUAAAAAAUGAAACCACUAGAAAAAACACACAGAGCAUACAAAAUAAUAUUAUAAAAGAUACUUAUUGGACAUAUAUGUGUUUAUUAAAUAUAUAUAAUAUAAGAGUUUUAGGUUUAUUUCGUUUUAUACAUCCACCAAACACAAGUUGGUAUACAAAAAUCAAAAAAUUAUUAGAAGAUUUUAAAGCAGCAUAUGUUAUUAUUUUAUACCUUCAUUUACCAUUUACACUUAUGAGUACAGUCGAACUUUUAUGGUGUCAACCAAUAAAAUACAAAAAUAAUAAUCCUACAUUAAUUUUAUAUCACAUGCCAUCACAGGUUUGUAGCUUGAAAAACAAAUUGUUUGUAUUUGGAAUAGUAUACGCUUUAUUAUUUCAACUGAUAUAUAUUUUUAUAGUUUUAAGAUCUAUUUAUAAAGCCAUGAAUAUAUUCAAAACAAAUUCAUCUUAUACCAAUCAGUUAAAUAAUUACUUUUUAUUUAAUGGAUAUAAUUACAAAAACAGAUGUUG